rnacentral:rRNA from 1 species
UACAUGGGGUGCAAACGUUGCUCGGAAUUAUUGGGCGUAAAGCGCGCGUAGGCGGUUACUCAAGUCGGAUGUGAAAGCCCUCGGCUUAACUGAGGAAGUGCACCCGAAACUGAGUAGCUAGAGUACUAAAGAGGGUCGCGGGAUUCCCGGUGUAGAGGUGAAAUUCGUAGAUAUCGGGAGGAACACCGGUGGCGAAGGCGGCGACCUGGGUAGAUACUGACGCUGAGGCGCGAAAGCGUGGGGAGCAAACAGG